UACGUAGGGGGCAAGCGUUGUCCGGAUUUAUUGGGCGUAAAACGCUCGUAGGUGGCCACGUCAAGUCGGAUGUGAAAUCUCCCGGCUCAACUGGGAGGGGUCAUUCGAUACUGGCGGGCUCGAGGCCGGUAGGGGGAAGCGGAAUUCCGGGUGUAGUGGUGGAAUGCGUAGAUAUCCGGAGGAACACCAGUGGCGAAGGCGGCUUCCUGGACCGGUUCUGACACUGAGGAGCGAAAGCGUGGGGAGCAAACAGG
rnacentral:rRNA from 1 species